rnacentral:tRNA from 1 species
GAAAAUGAUGGUUUAACCCCUUCCCCUAUUA